GAGAUGCUGCGUAGAUCAGAGCAGUUGGUGAAUCCUCAGAAACGAAAGCAUGCCUACGAGGUUCUCAUGUCGUUCUACGGCGCUGCUGGUAAGAAACAAGAGGUCUACCGUCUCUGGACCUUGUACAAGGAGCUUGGUGGGUUCUUCAACACUGGAUACAUAAGCGUGAUCAGCGCGCUCUUUAAGGCGGAAGAUAUCGAGGGUGUUGAGAAGAUUAUGGGAGAUUGGGAGGCUGGACAUUCUCUAUUCGAUGUCCGGAUCCCGCAUUUGUUAAUAACGGGUUAUUGCAAGAACGGGAUGAUGGCAAAAGCAGAGGGGGUAGCAAAGAUGGUGCUCCAGGAGACAAGCACAUGGGAGAGGUUAGCUCUGGGUUACAAGAUGGCGGGGGAGAUGGAGAAGGCGGUGGAGAGAUGGAAGAAGGCAAUAGAGGUGAGCAAGCCAGGGUGGAGACCACACAAGGUUGUGCUGAUGAGCUGUGUGGAUUAUGUGGAGGGUCAAAGAGACAUGGAGGGUUUGAGAAAGAUUCUGAGGCUGCUAAGCGAGCGAGGACACAUUUCUUACGAUCAGCUACUCUAUGAUAUGAAGGAAGCUGGUGGGGGACUGGGUUGGAAGAUAGUCAAUGCAAUGGGAUCAAGUCAGGUUCAAGAUUAAGGAAGCACAAGUUAGAUUGUAGCCAGAACAAAACAUUGGAGUCUUGCUUGAUAGAUCAUUUGGAUGCUUAAUUCCAUUAUAUUAUAUGUUUUUUCUUUGGGCCUAAUAGAUUAAUAAUCUGAAUCAACUAUAACAAACAAAGACUCGCAUAUAAAUUCGCGGAGUUGCAUAUAAAUUCGCUGCCUCACACAUGAGAAUGAACAGAACAAGGAACGGUGAUGUUAUAAAAAUCCAGAAGCAUUACAUAACUGUCUCGAUCAUUAAGCUUGCACAACAAAUGAAAAGUGGGUACCAACUACGGCUAGCUGCCUCUUUAUGAAAGAAUUUUAUAAAUGUGCCAAAAGAAUAAAAAGGAGACCGGAGGAAGAAUGCAUAGAACCAACAGUGAAAAAGGCUGCUGCUAAUUUUCUAACUAAGGUGAGAAAUAUCAACCUCGUCAGGAAUCUUGAAGGUAUCUGCUGCACCAAACUUUCUAAAUUCCUCGCCUUCAGUCACUGAGUCGUCUUCAUUAUCGUCGUACUCUUCUGCCGAAUCCUGAUGACGGGGGGUUGAAGGGUCGUACAUGCUUCUGGACCUGCAGUCAUGAGUUGCAAGCAUGUUCACUUGGCCAAGGUGUGAAAGCUCUACCAUCACAGUUUCAUCAUCCAUUGGCAGUGGCUGUUUCCAGGGCUCCCCAUCCAUCCUCAUAAAUGUAUGGUCUGCUGCUCCUUUCCGAAAUUCGAAGCGAAUGCGGUUUGCCUAGUCAGCCACGAAAGAGAAACCAACCAAACUCGAUAAGUUAUAAUUUGUAUGCACCCAAUCCCAUCACUUCUUUUUGUACAACACUUUACCUGGGCAAGUCGUGUACCGUGUCCAUUUGGAGCGAGCAGGACAAGACCGUGCCAAGCAUUUCUGAACCCAACAACCUCAAUGUAGCCAUCGUCAACGAACGGUGGAGUCAAGUCUCUCUGUUGUGUGAAAAGAAAUAAAUGUGCACAUUAUUUUACCACCAUGGCAAAGAUAUAUAUAAAUGUCAAGACCUACGUCACGUUGUUUCCUGGGAUUUGGUGUGCCCCAAGGAUUUAGCCCUCCAGAAAAGCUGGGCAGAUUAAGACAUACAAUGGACCUCAUGCUGUGAGAGCAGAAACAAAAACGUCAGGAGUUGGAGUGUAUAUUCUUUUAUUCAAGGUUGAACAGCUUAUUGCAAGAAAGAAGGGCAUUGACAAUGAUUAUUAUAUCCAGUAAAAGAAAGAUGUAAAAUCCCAAGUGAUUCCUUAAGGAACCAUUUAGAUAAAGAUUACCUAUGGGGUAUGUCAAGGUCCUGCCAUUGGCCAUUUUUAUUUGCAAUCUUAACCUUUGCAAGCUGAGCUAUGUUCCUGCAGGGGAAUAGCCACCAUUACAAACAAGGACUUGAAAUCUAAGAAAAUGGGAACCCACUACCAAUAAUAUAUAUAUUCACUUGCUCACCGUGAAGCAGGGUGGAAUAGAGAGGCACAAAACCAUCCUUGCGUGCAACCAAGCUUUACAUACGUACUCUAGCCAAAUGGAAUGUGAAGCCAAUGCUAUUACUUGUUUAAUUUUAGUCCUAACGGGAUCUAUAAAUUGAACAAAAAUCAGAAUCGAAAAACUUCAAGAACAAGGUACCUGAUUAACGAGCUGAUUCUUAAAUUUUUCAGGGUGCAGCUUCCUCUCAGAAUGAAACGCAUAAGAAACUUGAGCAUCCAUUCCUGCACACAAAAGGACAAUCAAACUUUCAAGGGAAUUUGUCUUUGAAAAUUGACACGUAGAUAUUAGUUUUUUAAAUCCCAUUAUUUGAUUUCCAUACAGACAAUCCAAUCUCUAUAAUAAUUAGUAUAGUAAGUUAUGAUUACUAGCACAUCAACCAUCCGUAAGAGAAACCUAUCUGCCAAACAAAAAAUUCUCACCGAGGCUAAAGUAAUUCCAGAAUCCCCCGCGAAAUGUGUGGUAACCUUCCUGGAAAGAGUAAAGGAUAAUAUCCAUAAUAAGAGAAAAUUGAGUCAGAAUUAUCCUUCCUGGUAGAAAUGUUAUGUACCAUAUUUAGUUCAUCUGUUGAAGAGACACGGUGAAAUGCAUGCAGAGAAUGUGGUAACUCAAGAGGUGCAAGAGGAUCACAAGGGCCUUCUUUAGGAGUCUUCAUCCUCAUAACUAUGUGCCAACUUAAAGUAGACAAAAUGCAUUCACCAGUUAUUCCAGAAUUAUUUAAAAAAAGAAAAAGGAAAAAGAGAUAUGUAUAUACUUGUCAAUCUUCAUCUCUUUGGCCUUGAGCACUUGAUCCAAAAACAACUCCACUGAAGCUGUAUCAGUUCCUGGAUUUUUCUUUCCCUGAAGAGAGCAAGCAAAACAAGGAUUGAGAUUGAAACCCUUGUGAUAUUGUCAAGCCGGCCCUAAGAUUUAAGGGUAAUAGGCGUUUUUUUUUCUGAAACACAGGGUAAUAGGCGAUUUACUAAAGGGCAAAUCUCCAAAAUAACUCUCAAAAACUAAAAUGACCAAAAUAACAUUUUAUCGUUUGAAAUUUUUUUUUUUUUUUUUUUUUUUUCAAAAGUUGAAAUUCGAGAGGAGGAACUACCAUCUCUACGGCGCCCUCUUGAACUGCUACGCCACCAAGAAGGUCUUGCACAAAGCUGACCAACUCUUCCACGAGAUGAAAGACCUCGGCUUCCUCAGAGGCUGCCUUCCCUACAACGUCAUGCUCAACCUCUACAUCAGGUGCGGCAAAUACGCUUUGCUCGAGAAGCUUCUCCGCGAGAUGGACGAUGGGAACGUCAAGCCCGACAUCUUCACGGUCAACACGCGCCUCCACGCCUACUCUCUCGUAUCCGAUGUCGAGGGAAUGGAGAAGUUUCUCACGGGGUGCGAGUCUGACCCUGGACUUGACCUUGACUGGCGGACUUACGCUGAUGCUGCAAACGCCUACAUUAAAGCCGGUUCGACCGGAAAGGCGAUGGAGAUGCUGCGUAGAUCAGAGCAGUUGGUGAAUCCUCAGAAACGAAAGCAUGCCUACGAGGUUCUCAUGUCGUUCUACGGCGCUGCUGGUAAGAAACAAGAGGUCUACCGUCUCUGGACCUUGUACAAGGAGCUUGGUGGGUUCUUCAACACUGGAUACAUAAGCGUGAUCAGCGCGCUCUUUAAGGCGGAAGAUAUCGAGGGUGUUGAGAAGAUUAUGGGAGAUUGGGAGGC
rnacentral:lncRNA from 1 species